CCUAUAAAUGUUCCUAGACUACCCGGCCAACCAAGGCACCUGAGAGGGGCAAACGUUCGUCCACCGUUGGAUGCAAGCGAUUCACUCCCGCUUUUCACCUCAGCCAUCCAUUGCGGUAAUUUUUUCGUCACCAGCUUUCUGCAAAUGAAUGCAUGACAAUUGGGCCCAACCAGGUGUGGAGCCGACAGGAAGAGACAGCCAGAACAGCUCGUUUGCGUAGCCUUUCUUUGUGUACGCGCGGCUCGAGACAGAGGCGACCAAUUCCGCUAGGGUUCUGGCCCGAAGCCUCAUUCGUCCGCCACUCCGCCUCCAUCCUCCGCCGGGUGAAAACCCUAGAUUGGGAUUGGUCCCUCCUCCUCCAAUCCCCGCGCCUCCUCGCUCCUCCCCAAUCCCUCGUCUCUUCUCUUUCUCCCAAGCGGUCGAGCGGCUGCCUCCUGACAGCGAGCUCCGAUGGUGGCGGCGAGCAGGGCAGGAACGGGCGGUCGGGGCGGCGACGAGCAGGGAAGGAUCCGUCGUCCCCACGACUCCCCCGACGACCUGCUUCUGAGCGCCGGCAGGCGACGGUCACCGCCGGUCGCGGGCGUCGCCGCGCAGAGGCCGCGUCAGCCGCCGCCUCGGGUCGACGCCGCCGUCGCGGCUCCUCUAGGUGACUGCCGGAUCUCACCACGAAGAAGCCAUGGGAGGAGAGUAGGUUGGCCGGCCGUGCGCGGCGUUGCGCCACUGGUGGACGAUGGUGGCCGGCCGCACGCACAGCUGGUGGAAGAUGGUGGCCGCGGCUGCUGGUGGUCUCAUUUUCUGACUGUCAAUAAAUAGUGGGAGGAGGGGUGGCCUUGGGAGUCCUCCCGGCUCCGGCGCAAGUAUACGUUGCGAUGCAUUCCGUCCAGCCUGGUGUGGCUCUGGUUGAGGAAUGGCUCUCUCUGCUUGUUGGAACAGGAAGGGAGCAAGCAAGAAAUAUAUCAGCCAAUGAACUGGUUGAUAAAUAGAUUGGACCAAUAUUGGAAAAGAGCACAAGAUUUGAGGAUUAGAGAAUGCUUCUAGACCAGAAGCACCAUCUUUAGACUACGCAUCGAGCGGCUGUUGUUCGAUGUGGGAACUAAAAUUCACUGUUUUGACCCGAUCGGACGAUCAACCAAGGUUUGCCCCCUGGAGUGACAGUCCAAAAUUUACCCUGAACUGAUUAGGGCACUUGCUAAGCAAGUAGUCCAAGACUAGCACCAGCUGAAGAUGAACAAGAAAUUGCAGCAGCUGAAGGCACCAACAAACCUUGAGGUGUCAAAACUUAGUGUGGAAGGCCGUGGGAUGGUCAGGUAAUUGUAAACUAUAUACCUGAUAGCCUUGUGAUGCACAUGAUGAGACAGGCCAUGGUGGGCUGCUGAUGCAGUAUCAACCACUAUUACCAUCACCAUCAAGGGACAGUAAAGAUUGUAUACUGAAUUCUGAGUUCCAUCCCCUAAUCCUCAUUUUGGCCAUUUUGGGGAAUCCCUGUUUUACUAAAGUGGGGCACCUGUUAUCUGUGGCAUUGUCAAGUAUAACAAAUGCCAACCUUUUGGUCAUGUUAAUUCCAGAUUGUAUAGGAACACAUGUGUGGCUAUAGGAGCUUAAGCUCUAUGAUGUGGAUAUGAAAUUUUUAAUAUGUUUGUGUUCUUUGUCCCCUUCUAAAAUUUCAGAGUCACAAUAUUCGUUGCUCGUUUUAUAUCUAGGAGUAAUGCAUUGGUGUGGAUUUGGGAUUGCGGCGGUUGUACCUGCAGAUGUGGCGGAAGGCAAAGCUGAAAUUAUACUGAAGCUUUCCAUCUUUGCCAAGUUUUUUAACCUCUAUUUCUAUUCACAGAGAGGCUUUUAUCAUUUUGUUGCACAGUGCAAGCUUUCCUUUGAUACUUACCAAUUAUUCAAGCAACCUUUAUUAUUUUCUAUAUUCACUGUACCUGCAUAUGUGAGGGUUCUGCCACUGCAGAACAAUGGGGGCCUCUACCUAUGGACCGCGAUAAUGGCAAGUGACUACAAUAGUUCAUCCUUUUAGUGGAGAUUUGAUGAAUAGUCUGUUUCGGGAAUGUGCAGUUGGAGAAUUUGUUCAGAUUGGGUUUGGGUGUCCAGGAGAUUCACCGACAGUAGCACCAGCCAUCAUUGGUUUUUAUGGACUCCAUGGCUGUUCUAGGAAAGGAGCGAAAGGGUGAUUUUUUUGGAGGGUCUGAUCAUUGUUGUUCUGCUUGAUUAGCACAACAAUAGGGUUGCUCCCUCCUGCAAAGUAUCGACCACAUCUAUGCCUCCCUCCACAUCAUCUCCUCUAUUUAUAUCUACAUGGUUUUUUUUGCCAUAUAAUAAAAGGUGAAGAGCGGUGGUAGGGAACCACGCCUACGAGCGUGCUCAUGGUGGUACCCAGAUCCCAACAAUGCAUGGUUACGGAUGUCCUCGGCCAGGAAACUCUUUCUUGUCUCUUCGAUUUUCAGUGACAUCGCUUUGGUUUAUGCUUGAUUCGGUGUGCAUUAUGAUUUUUCUCUUUUUAAGAUUGUUGUUUGGUUGGAUGUAGAAACAAAUGAAGAUGUGAAAAGGUGCGGAUUUGAUAAUGAUAUAUAGUUGUUAAUUUUUUCUGCUUGGUGUUGUUCCCUACUAAAAAGAAAAGCUCUAUAUGAUUGUGACAGGAUAAUUGUGAGGAUAUGAGGCUUCAAGAAAUAACCGUCAUAUUAGGUCUGAAACUUUUGUCUACAUCCCCAACUUAGUGUCGUCUGUUUACUUCAUGUGUUACUGUUAUCAUUGUUGUGCAUUGCCCAUGUUAAACUUUCGCUCUUUUACGAUGAGGGGUUGCCGUGGGAACCGCAUCGGCUCUGUUUUCUGCUUAUUGUGUGUGCUCUGUUGUCCACAUAGUGGUUGCCUCAUUUCUUCUUCUGUUCCUUGACAUGUGCGGUGAUCGGUUUGCUUUGUGUGUUGUCCAAUCUGUUCUAGCUAUCAAGUUUGAUUACUGGUGAGAUGUAAUACCCAAUUGGUCUAUAGCCAAAUCACUUGGGUAGGCACAUGAUAUGUAUGCCACCUAGCAACAAAAUAACCUGUAUUGACACAUCUUCACUGCUAUUUUGGAAUGUAAUUAUUGGUUUUUUGCUUUGCCGGAUUGAUCUCUGGAAUUAUAUUAUUUCAGAAUUUUGGGAUGCUAAAUAUUGCUUUUUGCAUUGCAAUAUUGAUUUAUACCUCUUAUGUUCCGAAUCUAUAUUAUUUAGGACGUACGAUGUGGUUUUUUUUAUAUUUGUUGUCUGUAUUUUGGCACUUCCUUACUCUGAAAGUGCAUUCUGAUAUGUUGUGCAUUUGUGCAUAAAAUAGCCGACUUACAACAACAUUUGGGUGACAACAUGCCACUGUGGAACGAAAUCAUGGUUAAAUAGAUGUAUUGUGCAAUUCUAUAAGCCCGAAAAAAAAACUUCAAGCUUCGUUCAAUCUGAUAUUCUACUUUAAAUUUCUGUUCAGUAGUACACAAAGUAGGACCAAUCAUUCUUGCCCAUUCCAGAGUGUAUAUAUUAUGUGCUCUACAGAAAAUUUGUUGGUUAUCAUCUCCUGCAUAUACUUCUUUUGCAAAUACGCAAAAUCCUUGUGUAUCAUUGCAUUAAAAGAGAGAAACAGCUAUAGAGAGUACAUAUAAUAUCUGAAGUACUAAAGUUUUUUUCUGAAUAGCUCUGAAUCUUGAAUGAUUCCACUGGACACUAAUUACCAAUGUUGCCAUAAUAAUAUUGUUGUAACUAUUAUUCAGAUCUGUAAUCUUGCUGAUUUGAUGUGGUUAGUGUAGUAGUAAAUCUUGCAGCCACCAACUGAUGCUUUUGAGGUUUAACUUUUGCUUCUUUCUUGAGUAGGUUGGUAUAAAGGUGAAGAGCUUCAAGGCCUUGUUGGUUUGCAAGGCGCUGGUUGUUGAUGCGAUCUUAUUUGGAGCCUGCAGAUUAUCCUGGGCAUCAUCAAAAGGAUGGCAGCAAUGGACUUUGUCAUGGAUCUGAGCAAAAAGAAGAGUCCCGGGAAGGUGAUUUGUAGGAAGGAGGUGACCAGUACUGUUCAAAACUGUUGUGUUGGAGGAGGAUUUGGUCCUUUCUUUCGUUAAAAUGGUAAGAGAUGCCUGCAAAGUAUUACUCCACUGAAGUCUGAGAUGAGUAUACAGGAGUAUGAGUCUUCUAUUUGCAGGCUACAGGCAGGGAAGCGUACUGGAGGGUGGCUGCCGGGGCUUGGCGUGAGUUCUUGAUGGCAUGGUGAGGGAGCAAGACAUCAUCAGGUUUACUUACUGAUGUGGCCUCUGCGUCCCGUGCGCUGGUGGUGCAGUCCGCUCAGAUUAGACACAAGCAGGUAGUUGUAGAUACCGUAUCUUCAAACGAGGACUGAGAAAGAAGAGCAGAUUCUAGGUAAAGAGUAUGGUGGAGAAGAAGACCAAGGUGAUUUAUCUCUCUUGUGGACACAAUCAAGUUUAACCCGAGCAAUUGGUUAAUUGGUGCUUAUUGUACUCAUAACAUCUACAGAGUGGGCCAAUAUUCGAAAAGAGCACAAGACUUGAGGAUUUGAGCAUGCUUGUAGGCUAGAAGCAUCACCUUCAGACUUCGUCACUUGUUGAUAGUCUAAAAUUGACCCUGAACUGAUAUGGGCACUUGCUAAGCAAGAUGUCAAAGACAAGCACCAGCUGAAGAUGAAAUAGAAAAUACAGCCGGUAAAGGCACCAACGAAGGAAAACCUUCAGGCGUCAAACAUGAUGGAAGAAUGUUGGAUGGUCAGGUAAUUAGUAUAAUCUACAUGCCUCAACGGCCUUUGUGGGCUGCUGAUGAUCACCCCACAUACUAUGCAAUUUUACUCCUUGGUGCUUGCACAUCCAUGAAAUCCAUAUCCAUGAAAUCUGGAUGUACUGGAUUCCACAUGCUGCAUGCAUAAGUUUGGUUCUCUCUUAUAUAGAGUCCCCAGUUUUGUUCUCACGGUUUAUAGCAUUACAGCAAGUAUAUUAUGGCAAUGAGGAGUUUCAUUUUAAAUUUGUAUUAUUCAUGUUUGCUCCGGUCAUAUAUGUUCUUCUCAUUAUAGCAUUGCAUGUAUUACUCUGUUUUACUAUCAAGGUGUGUCUAUUGUUCUACACAGCUGGUCACCGUCAGUAGCUAGAGAUUUGUCUGAUACUUGCUUGUGACAGCUUCUACUUACUCAUAAAGUGUACAAGUACAAACUUAUUCACAGUAUUAUUGCUUCGUCCUAUGGUAGUAUUCUAGCUUAGAGUAUUUUGGCUUUGUCCCGUGGUAGUACUCUAGCUUAGAGUACUCUAGCUUUGUCUUGUGGUAGUAUUAUUGCUUUAUGGUUCUUCUAGGUAAACCAUCUCAGCUUCAAGAUCAGAAUUCAUUUCUUGGAGGCACUGGUUUUACUAAGCCAUGUUGGUAUUCAGGUGCAUUGCCUUGUAUUUUAGUUCAUUAUAACAAUACUUCUUGGGUAAAAAUGAUCCAUCAAUUAUUUUUGAGGGAAGCAAGAUGUUUACGAUGCCCUCAUUAUAACAACACCCAUCAUCUUGGCAUCAUUCCUGCGUUUUGAGUGAUGACAGUGUGCUUAAGGAGUAUUUUUGAUGUGCCAUUAGGUCAAGUUAAAUAAUGGGAGCAUGUCACGCUUAAAUAUUAUCAUCACUCCCUUCAGUUGGGAGAAUUACCCGGCCAACGGAGGCACUCCCGGGGGCAAGUCUUUGUUGGUCGUUGGAUUCAUGCGACAGUCCAGUUUUUCACCCCCGCGUUGAUUUACAGCCGUCCAUUCAGUUGUUUUCUCGUUCACUCUGGCAAUCCAAGCAAACGACUAUGACAGCUGGGCCUGUUUUCCAGUGGGACCGCGUAUGAGAGAUGGGAUUUCUUCAGUUUCACGUCGCUCAUUUUCAUGUGCGCGUGAAGACAGGUGAAAACCCUAGACGUGGACAAAGCACGCCCAUGGUGAAAAAAAUCCCCAAUCGGCCAAUCCGCAGCCGCCUCUCCUUUCCUGGUUCCUCUCGUUUCCCUGUGGGUGGCGGCGGCAGUGACGACUUGGUUGGAGGGGAUGCGGUAGGAGGAGGGCGCAAAGGGGCGGGAGGGGUGGUCGCCGGGGAGGCGGAGCUGUGCUGGCCACCGCAAGUGAGGAAGAGGAUGGAGCUUGGUGCAGCAGAAGGGGAGAGCCUCAAGGGGUGGGAGCGACGACUACUCCGCCCUCGCCAGCUUCCGCCGCCGCUCCUCCCUUGCGCAGCCGCCGCCGUCCACGGGUUCGGGCGCCGUCUCGGAGAUUGAGGAGCCGGUCGGCCCGCUCAGGGGCGUGGCCAUCGGUGUCCAGCGUGCUGCUCGACGGCCGUUUCUGCAACGUCUGAGGAAGAAGAGAAGGAGGAUAUCAAGCAGGGGAUGUUGGGCUCUAAUGGUUGGAGGUAGCCAUCACUGCCAGUGGUAGCCAGAGAGGUCGUUUGGCUGCUUUGUAUAUGGCACAAGGAGGAAGGGAGCUGGAGACGACGAUGGAACCAAACAAUCCUAUAUCAACAACAGAACCAAACAAUCCUACAUCAACAACAGGUGCUCCCGAGCGAUGGCGGCGGCGGCAGGGAGAGCGCGCCUGAGCGAGGAGGGGGUUUGAAGUGUCCGUGCCAGCGACCUCACCGUCUCCAACCUAUCUGCAGGUCUUCAUGCUACAUUAGGUGUUCUCAAGGAAAAAUACUCGUAUGACAGUGUCUCGAAAAUAUGUAUAUCUAUCAGUGUUAUAUAGUAUAUCUGUCAGUGUUAUAUAUAUUACAGUUCAUACCUAAGUUGUGCAUGAAGUGAUAUUUCUUCAGCAAAAGUUACCUGACUGUAUUUAUUACAGUGUAUUUGACAUAUAAGGAACCUGAGCACAAAAUAAAAUGGCUGAUAUGUGGCAUGCAUCUAAGGUUGUUAGAUGUUUCCGUUUUUUAGUUCCAUAGAUGAGAAGACGCGACUCAGGACGUACUCCUUGGACACGAGACAGACGCGCGGCUGGGCCGCUUCAGCGUUGCCUGCAGCCUUGGGCAAGCUCAGCCUUGGGCAAGCUGAUACUGUCACCAGCGCAGGGCGGCGUGCGCUUGAGAUUCCACUCGAGAUCGACCGGAUUUUGUAGUCAGUCGAGUUGUAGUGUUCAGGAAUCAAAACUUGUGAGGUUGUUAAACUUCAGAGAAGAUGUAAACUGGUAUGAGUUUCAGAAUUAUAUGGCCAUAUGCUCUGUAAUUUUAUCCUAAGGCUGCUAAUAUACGAGUUUCAGAUUUU